AUUGAACGCUGGCGGCAGGCUUAACACAUGCAAGUCGAGCGGGGGAAGGUAGCUUGCUACUGGACCUAGCGGCGGACGGGUGAGUAAUGCUUAGGAAUCUGCCUAUUAGUGGGGGACAACAUCUCGAAAGGGCUGCUAAUACCGCAUACGUCCUACGGGAGAAAGCAGGGGAUCUUCGGACCUUGCGCUAAUAGAUGAGCCUAAGUCGGAGUAGCUAGUUGGUGGGGUAAAGGCCUACCAAGGCGACGAUCUGUAGCGGGUCUGAGAGGAUGAGCCGCCACACUGGGACUGAGACACGGCCCAGACUCCUACGGGAGGCAGCAGUGGGGAAUAUUGGACAAUGGGGGGAACCCUGAUCCAGCCAUGCCGCGUGUGUGAAGAAGGCCUUAUGGUUGUAAAGCACUUUAAGCGAGGAGGAGGCUACUCUAGUUAAUACCUAGGGAUAGUGGGCGUUACUCGCAGAAUAAGCACCGGCUAACUCUGUGCCAGCCGCCGCGGUAA
rnacentral:rRNA from 1 species